GGGCCACAGCUCAGGGGUAGAGCGGCUGCCUUGCAUGGAGAAGGUCCCAGGUUCAAACCCCAGUGGCACCU